UAUGAAACGCGCCAAAACCGGAACAAACUGCCUUUUCUAUUUUAGUAAUCUUAGGUUCAUAGGAUUCAUCUAUCUGUUAAAGCCUCACCAUGGCACAAAUGGAUGAUAUUCCCACAUUUAAGCUUGUCCUGGUUGGUGAUGGUGGUGUGGGUAAAACUACUUUUGUCAAACGGCACAAGACAGGAGAAUUUG
rnacentral:sRNA from 1 species